GCUGUGAGGGUUUGAGGUCGAGCUGCCUGCAGCACAGGAUGCUGCUCACUUGCAACUUUAGCUGCUGCUUGACCGGCAUGGCAGGAUGGAAACUGCGCUUUGUUCUGCUUCUGACGCUCUCAGUGGGGUUUGGCAGCGAAGUGACCGUGAAAACCAUUGGGAGAGAACCAGACGCCACUCCGAUAUGCAGCAAUACGACAGAGAACAUCGUCACACUCUUAGUGUGUAAGAUCCACAGGGAGAGGAACGGAGAAGAGUGUCUUCUGCUGUAUAGAUAUGGAGGAGGAGACCCCAAUGAGAACACAUGUGACUCCAGGUUCACUCUCAUGACGGAGAACCACACUGUGUUUCUCCACCUGACCAGUUUAACACCAGUGGACAGUGGGAACUACACCUGCGAGUGUUCCCAUGCUGAUGGGAUGGAUGUUCUCAAUCUGAGUAUCACCGUGGAAGAGGGAGACGCCAGGCGGUCAACACACCAGCUGAUUGUAAUCGGGUUGAUCGGGGCCACAAUAGUCAUUUCUAUAACUGCAGUUAUCUUCGGGUUUCUUUACAGAGGAAUACGUCAAAGGUGAGAGAAUACUUGUAAUACUCACAACUAUUUAAUAACUUGACAGCAUUGGGUCGGUUGAAGUAAUGAAGGAAG
ensembl:lncRNA